ensembl:misc_RNA Metazoa_SRP Metazoan signal recognition particle RNA
GCCGGGCAUGGUGGUGCGUGCCUGUAGUCCCGGCUACUCAGGAGGCUGAGGCAGGAGAAUCGCUUGAACCUGGGAGGUGGAGAUUGCAGUGAGCCGAGAUCGCGCCACUGCGCUCCAGCCUGGUGACAGAGCGAGAUUCUGCCUCAA